rnacentral:rRNA from 1 species
UCUGGUCCUUUUGUGCCCGCCGCCGCGGUAAUACGGAGGAUGCGAGCGUUAUCCGGAUUUCUUGGGUUUAAAGGGUGCGUAGGCGGUUUAUUAAGUUAGUGGUUAAAUAUUUGAGCUAAACUCAAUUGUGCCAUUAAUACUGGUAAACUGGAGUACAGACGAGGUAGGCGGAAUAAGUUAAGUAGCGGUGAAAUGCAUAGAUAUAACUUAGAACUCCGAUAGCGAAGGCAGCUUACCAGACUGUAACUGACGCUGAUGCACGAGAGCGUGGGUAGCGAACAGG